GCCGUGGUGGUGGAAUAGGCAGACACGCUAUCUUGAGGGGGUAGUGGAUACACUCCGUGCGGGUUCGAAUCCCGCCCUCGGCACCA
rnacentral:tRNA from 1 species